CCUACGGGCGGCAGCAGUGAGGAAUAUUGGUCAAUGGGCGCUAGCCUGAACCAGCCAAGUAGCGUGAAGGAUGACUGCCCUAUGGGUUGUAAACUUCUUUUAUAUGGGAAUAAAGUGCAGUAUGUAUACUGCUUUGCAUGUACCUUAUGAAUAAGGAUCGGCUAACUCCGUGCCAGCAGCCGCGGUAAUCCGGAGGAUCCGAGCGUUAUCCGGAUUUAUUGGGUUUAAAGGGAGCGUAGGCGGGUUGUUAAGUCAGUUGUGAAAGUUUGCGGCUCAACCGUAAAAUUGCAGUUGAUACUGGCAGCCUUGAGUACAGUAGAGGUAGGCGGAAUUCGUGGUGUAGCGGUGAAAUGCUUAGAUAUCACGAUGAACUCCGAUUGCGAAGGCAGCCUGCUGGACUGUAACUGACGCUGAUGCUCGAAAGUGUGGGUAUCAAACAGGAUUAGAUACCCGAGUAGUC
rnacentral:rRNA from 1 species